CCGCCCCGCCCCGCCCCGCGCCGCCGCCCCCAACCCCUAGGCUGAGCCGGAGGGAGGGACCCAGAAGGGAGGGAGGCGGAAGGGAGGCCAAAAAGGAGGGGGCCACGUGAAAGAGGCCGGCCGACCGAGACCGAGGGAGACUGAGCGGAGCGCACGCCCUGGAAGGAGAGAGCCGGAGAGUUCGGGAGGCAAGACCCCCAGAGACGAGAGUCGGAGGGAUCAAACGACACAGAUGGGAAACUGAGGCCCAGCAAGAGGCAGCCCUGGUGCAGGGACUCCAAUGGAGUCUUGCUCUGUCACCCAGACUGGGUACAGUGGCACGAUCUCGGCUCACUACAAACUCCACCUCCUGGGUUCAAGAGAUUCUCCUACCUCAGCCUCCCGAGUAGCUGGGACUACAGACACAGGGGUUUGCCCUCCUGUCCCUUCUCCUCCAGAGGACACAGCAUUCAAUACUACCUUGGAAGCAGCGACAGCAACCCUCACCAGACACCAAGCCUGCUGGCACCUUGAUCUUGGACAUCCAGCCUCCAGAUCUGUGAGAAGUAAAUUCUGGUUUUUUAAAAAUUACCCAGUCUCAGGUAUUUUUUAAUACACACAUUAAUGGACUAAGACAAGACUCAACACUGUCAAGUUGUCAAUUUGUGCUAAAUUGAUCUAUAGACUUAAUAUGUUCUCAAUAAAAGUCCCAACAAGGUUAAUGUGGAAAUUGACAAGCUGAUUCUAAAACAUAAUGAAAGGCAACGGACGUAGAAUAACAAAAACCCUUUUGAAAAAAUGAAUAUUACCUGAAAUGAAGAGUCAGCAUAAAGUUACAAUGAUAAAGACAGUGUGUUACUGGCACAGGGAUAGACAUAUAGACCAAUAGAACUGAAUUGAGAAUCCAGAUGUAUAUAUCAAGUCAAUGGGGGAAAGGUAUAGAAUAAAGAGGUAUUCACAUAGGAAAAAGCAAAUCUCAAAUUUUACUUCACAUCAUACACAAAAAAUGACUCUGAAUGGAGGGUAGUUCUAAAGGUAAGAGCUAAAGCUAUAGUACUUCUAGAACAGGGGUUACAAUUUUUUUUCUUUAAAGAAACAAAUAGUAAAUAUUGUAUGCUUUGCAGGCCAAAAGAUCUCUAUUGCAGCUACUCAACUCUGCCAUUGUAGCACCAAACAGUCACAGAUAAUACACAAACAACUGGGUGCAGCUAUGUUCCAAUAAAGCCUUCUUUACAAAAAUAGGUGGUGUUCCAGUAAAACUUUGUAUACCAAACUGGGGGCUGUAGUUUGAAGAUCCUCGUUCUAGG
rnacentral:lncRNA from 1 species